rnacentral:lncRNA from 10 species
CACCCCUGGAGCCCAAGGCAGAUGCGUCCUUGCCCUCAGGGUUGCCAACAAUUCCUCCUGACAUGUGCUUCAGGCAGAAGCCCAGAUGCACCAGUGAUGCGAUGUACAGAAAUGAUUUUUCCAAUGACUGUGCCAAUGUAACUGCGGCCAAACCACCCCAGGGACCAACGGGAGCUGGUGAUGACUGUGCCAUGUUCGGGAGGUCACAUGAGGCCAGCAGAGGAUGGAAGAGACCAGCAAAAAGUAAGGUAAAUUCAGAAUUUCCUUUGGAACAAGUUUGGUUGAAAUAAGGAGCCAACAUCCAAAUCUGAAUCCUUAUAAAGUCAUCUUUUUUAUAAUUUAUAAGAAUCUUAGCCAGCCCCUGCAAAUCAACUAAUUUCAGAGAAAUCUUCUUUUUAACCUUCUGGAGUGAGGAUAAAAAUUCAAAUUUUCCUAAAGAAGAGGAAAAAAAAUGAGUUAAACCACAAAGCCAGGGUUAUUUCUCCUAGGCAACUGGAUUAAGGCCAAAGAUCCCAAUGGCAGGGCCAGUUGACUUUAUGACACUCACAUGCUUAGAUGGCACCUUAUUCUCCCAAUACCAAAUGUCUGAAUGUUUUCAGUGUUUUAUAGACCAAACAUUUGGAUGCUUGACCACAUUUUUCCAUUUUCCAUCUGGAAAAGAAUGAACACUGUCUGAGAUUUGUCUCUUAGACUUCCUAAGAAGAUGACCUUGAAUGCCUUAGAAGCGGCAUCAAUUCAACCCAGCACAAAUUGCAGUGACUGUCCUUACAAUCAGCUGCCUAAAGGGCAUCUGUGUUAGGUAAUCCAGAGCAUUUGAAUAAAAAUUAAGGUUGAAGGAAUUAAGAUGGAAUUGGGAGUUUAUUACGUGUUCACUAUGUGCUGGGCCCUUUUAAAUAUAUUAACAUUACCUAGGAUACCAUUGGCCUUCACUUUGCACUUAAGAAAUGAAGUUCCAUGUGCUUAAAUGAUUCACUCAAAGUCACAUGGCUGGUCAAGAAUCGAGCACCCUGUCAUGCCCUUGAGAAGCCUGCAAGCACAGUGUCUGCCACACAGAUGUCUUCUUUCAGGCAUCUGUUUAGACACACACACAAAUCAAGUUUGAAGAGUUAUGAAAAGGAAACCGCUCCCUGCGAUGUCUGUGAUGUGUGUGCCCGCACACGUACACACGCCUGCCUCUCCUCCCAGCCUGCUCAGUCCUGUCCACCUAACCAUCCUCUAGGACCUUCUCCUCAUGUUGGCGAGAGAAUUCUUAGGAGUUGCCUUCCUUUUUACAGACAGUGUCUGACCUGAGCGAUCACAGCUUGUCUGUCUGACCUCAGUGGAGCUUCUUAAACACAGUUGGCCUCUACCUGCCUGGAUGUCAGAAAGGCGGCUGUGAUGAAAAUGGCUUCCACCUUCAUCAAGGACAUAACAAGCACCAGGCAACCAGCAGUGCCCAAGAGAGAGAGGCGGCUCUGUGCUUCAUCUCCACUGACUGGUCAAAAGGGCAGCUACACUCAAGGUGGAAUUUACACAGUGACUAAAACUGAUGCUGCGCACAUUCCUUGAGUCAAACGGACCGCUAACCAUUGUGAGAUGGCAGAAAUGUCGCCUUUCCUCUCCAAACCCCAGUUUCCUGAAUAGUAAAAUGGAAAAGAUACAAACUAACUAACUCGUAGCAGCAUAGGGAGAAAUAAACUCAAAAGCUAACAAAAUGUGAGGUAUUUGCUGUUUCAUUAUUUUUAUUUUAUUUAUUUUAUUAAGAGACAGGAAUGGCCUUGCUCUGUCGCCCAGGAUGGAGUGCAGUGGCGCAAUUGUUACUGGUGGUGAAUCCCUACAGGUCUGCAGCAACCUCGAUUCUUGCCUCCUCAGAAGAAAGAAUUCAAAUGAGGCGCAUAAGGCAGAAGGAGAGAACAAAGCAAGUUUUAGAGCAGGAGUGAAAGUUUAUUAAAAAGUUUUCUGGCAGG